GACGAACGCUGGCGGCGUGCUUAACACAUGCAAGUCGAACGGAAAGGCCCUGCUUUUGUGGGGUGCUCGAGUGGCGAACGGGUGAGUAACACAUGAGUAACCUGCCCUUGACUUUGGGAUAACUUCAGGAAACUGGGGCUAAUACCGGAUAGGAGCUCCUGCUGCAUGGUGGGGGUUGGAAAGUUUCGGCGGUUGGGGAUGGACUCGCGGCUUAUCAGCUUGUUGGUGGGGUAGUUGCUUACCAAGGCUUUGACGGGUAGCCGGCCUGAGAGGGUGACCGGCCACAUUGGGACUGAGAUACGGCCCAGACUCCUACGGGAGGCAGCAGUGGGGAAUAUUGCACAAUGGGCGGAAGCCUGAUGCAGCAACGCCGCGUGCGGGAUGACGGCCUUCGGGUUGUAAACCGCUUUCGCCUGUGACGAAGCGUGAGUGACGGUAAUGGGUAAAGAAGCACCGGCUAACUACGUG
rnacentral:rRNA from 1 species